rnacentral:rRNA from 1 species
AUGAAGGAACGGUAUGAGGCUGAACUGAGCAAAAGAGAAAACCAAACCGCUGAUCUGCGGGAGAACCUCCGAUCCCAACAAGCCGAAACCUCCAAAGCCAAGGAAGAAUUAAUCAGCGCUCUAGGCGCUAUGGAGAAACUUAAAGAGGGCUUCAACAAGGAGCGGGCGGAUUGGGAGACUGAAAAGUCCGCUUUGACAAAAAGGGCUGAAAACGCCGAAGCAGCUCUUAAACCGGUGGUUGAUGAGCUAACCAGUGUACAGCGGCAGGUUCAUGCCAUGACUGCUGCGGUGUUCGGAACUCGUAUUAGCCAUCUAGGCUCAGAUGUACAGAAGAAGCUGAAAGCAGCCUACACUCUAAUAGAGCAGCUGUGUACCGGUGCCCAACGGAUCAUCUGCACUGCUUCACAUAACAAUCCUCCUCCUACCUUGAUCAAGGAUACCUUAGAAAGGUUAUCUAUGCUUCCUGCCCGGGUUGACGAGCUAAAAAGUCUGCCGCUAGAACGGGCGCUUUGGCCGCCCUGA